UUUGUUUUUUUGCAAAGCGGAAAUUAUAGAAAUUGUAAUUAGACACCAUUUAUAGUGUCUUUUACUGAAGUAUUAAUCAAAACAUUGUGAUAUUACCAAGGAUAUUAGUGCGUUCGUUUUAGUUAUUCAUAACAAGGCAUAAAGCUUGUUUUUUAUUUCCAAAAAUGGAUCAAGAUCGCACUCGACGUGGUAAGUCCCUACCAAGGUCCCUACUCUGUGAACGAUAGUGCAGUAGAAACAACGAUCCAUCCGAGUUCUUCGUACCGGAAGUUCUCGCCGCUGGAAUCUCCCACGGAUGUACCGUCAUUGGGAUUCGAACACAUCACUUCGCAAUAGUCAUGCGGCUGGUCCGACUCCGGCCAAUAUCGUAUCCAAUACAUUUACGACAACCGUUCCGGUUGUUGGGUCGCCUAUCCUGUGAUAGGCUGGUGGAUUGUACGUGGGAUACAUCCCAUUCGAUUGCACCUAGGAGGAGCAGAUGGAACUCUCCCAUGAGCUUGUUCGGUUUGGAACAAACAAUUUCGUUGUUCUGGAGUUUCGUUCGAUUGACGAAAAUACCCUAUAGCAAUGACAUUCAAUAUCAAUUUCAAGAGACAGUACCCUACACCAGUCCAUGCCUGGAAUGACCGCUGCCAGCCAUACCACGAUCUACCAAAAAAUCUGCGGUGGAUCUACAUACCCGAGCCCGAGCACCUUGAGCCCCACUUUCCGUACAAGAUCAUCAUUGCUGGCCCGCCGAAUUAGUUGAAUGAAGAUCUGAACUGGAACUUUGACACCACGGCAGGGAAAUAAAGACGAUUGCUGUGAUGGUUUAUUCACACCUCCAGCGUGAUAAACGUGUAAACCCAUGGAAUUUCUGUAGCAGGUUGGUGGAAUAAGGAACUUUCCGGAUGUUUCGAUAUUCGUCCACCGUGUGCUUGGCUGGCGUUGUUUGAAGCGUUUCUCAUCGAUUAACAAAUGGAUUUAUUUGGACGAUGAAAGGACAAGGUCUUCAUGAUAUCGACACUGAAUUCAAACUCCAAAUCAGCGGUUAUCCUUUGAUCACUUUGUCAAUGGAACUGAAGGGGGCAAAGGUUGAUGCAUCUCCGUUCUAUAGCAGUUCCCCAGAGUCACAGUACCAAGAAAACAGUCGUCGCCCGAUGGCGAACAGCCGGCAGGAUGGUCGAGCAGUUUCGCGCCGGUGGAAUAGUCUCUUGCCAGCAUCGGGA